GCCGGGGUGCCCGAGCGGACUAAGGGGCUGGCCUUGAGAGCCAGUUCCCCAUACGGGGAGCGCGGGUUCAAAUCCCGCCCCCGGCG
rfam:Fervidicoccus fontis Kam940, complete genome.